rnacentral:rRNA from 1 species
AGUGAACGCUGGCGGUAGGGCUAACACAUGCAAGUCGAACGGCAGCACAGUAAGAGCUUGCUCUUACGGGUGGCGAGUGGCGGACGGGUGAGGAAUACAUCGGAAUCUACUUUUUCGUGGGGGAUAACGUAGGGAAACUUACGCUAAUACCGCAUACGACCUACGGGUGAAAGCAGGGGAUCUUCGGACCUUGCGCGAUUGAAUGAGCCGAUGUCGGAUUAGCUAGUUGGCGGGGUAAAGGCCCACCAAGGCGACGAUCCGUAGCUGGUCUGAGAGGAUGAUCAGCCACACUGGAACUGAGACACGGUCCAGACUCCUACGGGAGGCAGCAGUGGGGAAUAUUGGACAAUGGGCGCAAGCCUGAUCCAGCCAUACCGCGUGGGUGAAGAAGGCCUUCGGGUUGUAAAGCCCUUUUGUUGGGAAAGAAAAGCAGCAGGUUAAUACCCCGCUGUUCUGACGGUACCCAAAGAAUAAGCACCGGCUAACUUCGUG